AGUUUGAUCAUGGCUACAGAACACGCUGGCGGCAGGCCUAACACAUGCAAGUCGAACGCUCCGCAAGGGGAGUGGCAGACGGGUGAGUAACACGUGGGAACCUUCCCAUCGCUACGGAAUAGCUCAGGGAAACUUGGGGUAAUACCGUAUACGCCCGAAAGGGGAAAGAUUUAUCGGCGAUGGAUGGGCCCGCGGCUGAUUAGCUAGUUGGUGAGGUAACGGCUCACCAAGGCGACGAUCAGUAGCUGGUCUGAGAGGACGACCAGCCACACUGGGACUGAGACACGGCCCAGACUCCUACGGGAGGCAGCAGUGGGGAAUAUUGGACAAUGGGCGCAAGCCUGAUCCAGCCAUGCCGCGUGAGUGACGAAGGUCUUCGGAUUGUAAAGCUCUUUUGGCGGGGACGAUAAUGACGGUACCCGCAGAAUAAGCCCCGGCUAACUUCGUG
rnacentral:rRNA from 1 species